AUGGGGUGCNNCNNGCGAGAAACCUUUGCAAUGUGCGCAAGCACGACAAGGUUAAUCCGAGUGUUUCCUGCUAAAGGAAUCUUUUGUUANNCUUAAAAUCACUAUUGAAUAAGGGGUGGGCAAGUUCUGGUGUCAGCCGCCGCGGUAAAACCAGCACCUCAAGUGGUCAGGAGGAUUAUUGGGCCUAAAGCAUCCGUAGCCUGCUCUGUAAGUUUCCGGUUAAAUCCAUUAGCUCAACUAAUGGCCUGCCGGAAAUACUGCAGAGCUAGGAAGUGGGAGAGGUAGACGGUACUCGGUAGGAAGGGGUAAAAUCCUUUGAUCUAUUGAUGACCACCUGUGGCGAAGGCGGUCUACCAGAACACGUUCGACGGUGAGGGAUGAAAGCUGGGGGAGCAAACCGGAUUAGAUACCCGGGUAGUCCCAGCUGUAAACGAUGCAGACUCGGUGAUGCCCUGGCUUGUGGCCAGUGCAGUGCCGCAGGGAAGCCGUUAAGUUUGCCGCCUGGGAAGUACGUACGCAAGUAUGAAACUUAAAGGAAUUGGCGGGGGAGCAC
rnacentral:rRNA from 1 species